CCGACUGCGGGGCUAUAAUCUAUGAAACUGAGCCGGUUCCAGCCAAUCAGUUAGCUCCUCAUAACAAGUCUAACUGGCUCUGGAAAGCCGAAGGGCUGCACUGGAGCAACGCAGCCGAGAUCUUCCACACAAUAAUCUGCUUAUGUAGAAUCACUUUGCCUGGAAAGACCAGAGAAAAAUCACAGCUUCAUUGUCUGAGGGGAAGGACAGGUGAUCUGGCAAAAACCAGAGGGAACCUGAGCAA
rnacentral:lncRNA from 1 species